rnacentral:rRNA from 1 species
GGUCAAGCAUUAAGAGCGCAGGGUGGAUGCCUUGGCACUGAGAGCCUAAGAAGGACGCGGCAAGCUGCGAAAAGCUUCGGGGAGGCGCACACAGCCUGAGAUCCGGAGAUAUCCGAAUGGGGAAACCCGCAUGAGCAGACCUCAUGCAUUCCUACGCCAAUUCAUAACGUAGGGAAGGGAACCGGGGGAACUGAAACAUCUAAGUACCCCGAGGAGAAGAAAGAAAACUCGAUUUUCCAAGUAGCGGCGAGCGAACGGGAAAGAGCCCAAACCAUGGUGCGUGCACCAUGGGGUUUUGGACUGCAGGAGGUACUUUCUAACUUAGCCGAAUGGUUUUGGGAAAGCCAUCCAAAGAGGGUGAAAGACCCGUAGGCGAAAAGAAGGAAAGACCGGCAGGAUCCAGAGUACCACGAGACACGAGAAACCUUGUGGGAAGACGGGGGGACCACCCCCCAAGGCUAAAUACUCCUCAGUGACCGAUAGCGCAUAGUACUGUGAAGGAAAGGUGAAAAGGACCCCGGGAGGGGAGUGAAAGAGAACCUGAAACCCUGUGUUUACAAGCUGUGGAAGAUGUGCCUGUGGGUUCACCUAUCUUCAUGAGCUCUGCAGCCGUUACGACAGCGAUUACAUCGUCAACUUACUCGACGUAGACAACUACGUCUGCGUGAGUUUCCUUGUACUCGAAGCCGUAGCGACCGCAUUGCAGCAUGAGAAUAGGUGAGUCCACAGCCAUCAACCGCGUACUUUUUGUAGAACGGUCCGGCGAGUUGCGGGUGCCGGCAAGGUUAAGCACUGUCAGGUGUGGAGCCGAAGGGAAACCAAGUCUUAAGAGGGCGAAAGUCGGAACACGCAGACCCGAAACCGGGUGAUCUACCCAUGUCCAGGUUGAAGCUGCCGUAAAAGGCCGUGGAGGACCGAACGCACAUCCGUUGAAAAGGGUGGCGAUGAGGUGUGGGUAGGGGAGAAAUUCCAAUCGAACCCGGAGAUAGCUGGUUCUCCUCGAAAUAGCUUUAGGGCUAGCCUCAGACAAGAUACACGGAGGUAGAGCACUGAAUUCCCAAGGGGGCGUCAAAGCUUACCAAAGGAUAUCAAACUGCGAAUGCCGUGAUACCGAUGUCUGGGAGUCAGACCAUACGAGAUAAGUUGGAUGGUCAAAAGGGAAACAGCCCAGAUCUGCAGCUAAGGUCCCAAAGUGCGUGUUAAGUGGAAAAGGAUGUGGGAUUUCAAAGACAACCAGGAUGUUGGCUCAGAAGCAGCCAUACAUUAAAAGAGUGCGUAACAGCUCACUGGUCGAGAGGUUCUGCGCCGAAAAUGUCCGGGGCUAAAACACGACACCGAAGCUCAGGAAUGAUUGUAAGAUCAUUGGUAGAGGAGCAUUGUCAGAACGAAGAAGCGGUACCGGAAGGGGCCGUGGAGAUCUGAGAAGAGAGAAUGCCGGAAUGAGUAGCGAGAGAGAGGUGAGAAUCCUCUCGGCCGAAUAUCCAAGGUUUCCAGAGUAAAGCUGAUCUUCUCUGGGUAAGUCGGGACCUAAGGCGAGGGCGAAAGCCGUAGUCGAUGGAAAGCAGGUGGAGAUUCCUGCACUGCAGUAAAACAGAACUGUGGGGACAUGUGUGGAGAGCACGGGCGCGGAAUGGAAAGCCGCGUGCAAGCGAAGGAGGAGUGCUGCAGGUAAAACCGCAGUACAAUCCAAAGACGUGAAGCGGACCGAAGUAAAGUAGGGAAGCGUGUGAGCCAUGGAUCAAGAAAAGCCGCUAUUGUUUUUAUUGUACCCGUACCGUAAACCGACACAGGUAGAUGAGGAGAGAAUCCUAAGGCCGACGGAAGAAGCAUUGUUAAGGAACUCGGCAAAAUGGCCCCGUAACUUCGGGAGAAGGGGUGCCUGGCGAAAGUCAGGCCGCAGAGAAAAGGCUCAAGCAACUGUUUAGCAAAAACACAGGUCUAUGCGAAACCGAAAGGUGAAGUAUAUGGGCUGACGCCUGCCCGGUGCUGGAAGGUUAAGAGGAGAGGUCAGAGCUACGGCUCAAAGCUUUGAAUUUAAGCCCCAGUAAACGGCGGCCGUAACUAUAACGGUCCUAAGGUAGCGAAAUUCCUUGUCGGGUAAGUUCCGACCCGCACGAAAGGCGUAAUGAUUUGAGCGCUGUCUCAACAAUGCAUCCGGUGAAAUUGAAGUACCAGUGAAGAUGCUGGUUACCCGCGCCAGGACGGAAAGACCCCAUGGAGCUUUACUCCAGUUUGGUACUGGGACCCGGUACUGCAUGUACAGGAUAGGCGGGAGGCUAAGAAGAAGGUACGCAAGUAUCUUUGGAGCCGCUGUUGGGAUACCGCCCUUGCAGUAGUGGAUUUCUAACCAGAGUCCGUGAACCGGACAUGGGACAAUGCCAGACGGGGAGUUUGACUGGGGCGGUCGCCUCCGAAAGAGUAUCGGAGGCGCUCAAAGGUUCCCUCAGGAUGGUUGGAAACCAUUCAAAGAGUGCAAAGGCAGAAGGGAGCUUAACUGCGACACCGACGGGUGGAGCAGAUACGAAAGUAGGACUUAGUGAUCCGGUGGUAUGAAAGUGGGAUUGCCAUCGCUCAACGGAUAAAAGCUACCCUGGGGAUAACAGGCUUAUCACUCCCAAGAGUUCACAUCGACGGAGUGGUUUGGCACCUCGAUGUCGGCUCAUCGCAUCCUGGGGCUGUAGUAGGUCCCAAGGGUUGGGCUGUUCGCCCAUUAAAGCGGUACGCGAGCUGGGUUCAGAACGUCGUGAGACAGUUCGGUCCCUAUCCGGCGUGGGCGUAGGAUAUUUGAGAGGAGCUGUCCUUAGUACGAGAGGACCGGGAUGGACCGGCCGCUGGUGUACCUGUUGAGCCGCCAGGCUCAGGGCAGGGUAGCCAAGCCGGGAAGAGAGAAACGCUGAAGGCAUCUAAGCGUGAAGCUCACCUCAAGAUGAGAUAUCCCAUUCGAAAGAAGUAAGACCCCUUGAAGACGACGAGGUAGAUAGGGCAGAGGUGGAAGUACAGCAAUGUAUGGAGCUGACUGUUACUAAUCGGUCGAGGGCUUGACCUC